rnacentral:snRNA from 1 species
CGAUACAGAGAAGAUUAGCAUGGCCCUUGUGCAAGGAUGACAUGCAAAUUUGUGAAGCGUUCCAUAUUU